rnacentral:rRNA from 1 species
UACGGAGGGGGCUAGCGUUGUUCGGAAUUACUGGGCGUAAAGCGCGCGUAGGCGGCUUUGUAAGUUAGAGGUGAAAGCCCGGAGCUCAACUCCGGAACUGCCUUUAAGACUGCAUCGCUAGAACGUCGGAGAGGUAAGUGGAAUUCCGAGUGUAGAGGUGAAAUUCGUAGAUAUUCGGAAGAACACCAGUGGCGAAGGCGACUCACUGGACAUGUAUUGACGCUGAGGUACGAAAGCGUGGGGAGCAAACAGG